CCUAGCCAUUUAAUGGCUGGGCCACAUGUCAGUUUAUUAAGACAUUAUUAAAAUUAAUUUUAAGUCAUAAAAUUCAAAAGCAAUAUUUAGUACUUAAGGAAAUCUAAAGCUUUGGUGUGCAAAUUAAUUUUUGCUUUGUACAAGCAAGA
rnacentral:ncRNA from 1 species